rnacentral:lncRNA from 1 species
UACAAAUUUCUUGAAUCACUUCAGUGACGUGUUAAGUGCAUGAAGGAAAUGUAAUUAUGAAUGAGAAGUAAAAUUUAUAAAUGAAUAUCAAUUAUCAUCUUGUUUCGUGUAGUAAUAUCUCAAAAAAGGAUAAAGAUAUAGAGGUUAUACUGCUGACUUGAUAAAACAUCUGGGACAUACAGCAUGUUGUAUAGAGAACGUAUAAAUGUAUUGACUUAUGUAAAUAUUUCUAUACUUACUACGGCACCGAAUUAAGCGAUCCUUUGAGGUGAUGUGACUUGUAAACAAGAAACAGCGUGAAUCAGUGUGUGAAUUAUUGCCACAAAUAUAUGUAGCGGUAGGAGAAAAGAUUUAUAUAAAUCUGUUGGAUAUGAAUUAUUGCAACAAAUGGAUAUACUGGAUAUGGCUGCUGACGUAUAAAUGAAAUAAUUGUUGGCGAUCAUAAUUAUGCAAUAUAUCUUAAACAGUUUAAUACUGGUAAUAUUUCUUUACAUAAAUAUGACAAUAGCAACGGAAAAUGGGAUUUCACCAACUUUAAAAACAAAUGUGGAAGUACGCUUACUACUACAGUGGUGAAAUUGACGGAUAGUUACAGAAACAGUACAGGAAAUAAAUACUAGUAGUUCCUUGGUUCAUGAACAUAUUCAUAUUACAGAAAUAUCUGCAAGUGAAUUCACUGAAAAUAAAGAUUUACUAAAUGAUACCACAGAAGAGUUUGAUAACAAAACGAAUGAAAGUGAUUAUGAAGUCGAUGAUAUUCAUUCAAGUUUUAAUUUAGCAAUAAUACCAACUGUUGCUGUCUUUGUUUUUAUAGUUAUAACUUGUAUCAAAUGUUGCAAAUGGUUUCAACAGUAUACAAGGAGAGAUAGCAAGGACGAUCAUUUCUACGCAGUUGUCGUAACUGAUGACGACAAGGAACACGGUCAUACUGAUAUCACUUUGGAAUCAGCAUCCGCGGCUGGCUUACGACACGGUAUAUUCUUCUAGUUUGAAAUACGGUGGCAACGGAAACGUAUUAAGCUCAAUAAGAACAUGGCUGCAGGAUUGCAUAAAGAGCGGUGGUUUUAAAUCCUCACUGCAUAGGAUAGAGCAGAAAAAUGUGAAUUGUGAAACAUAUAUAAAACAAGUUACUUCAUUAGAUAUACAGGAACUAAAACAGAUGAAACGAUUGACGACUUAGAUGUAAGGUUUUAUUCAACCUCCAGCGCGGAAACUGUCAGUGAGCACCUGACCCGAUUCUCCUGCCAUCAGACAUAACAACAGAGUUUCAAUUUUGACUGAAACAAUUCCGAUAACAGUCAACAAUAAAACUCCUAACGGUAACAUAAACCACGAAAAACUAAUCCGUUCUAAAUUGAAAAAGUCAUCAACAGCAACAUCAUCUAAAACAACAUCAACAGUUAGCACAUUAGAAGGAACUCCAGAAGAAACAAAAAUGGUAGAUGUUGGUAUACAGACUAACAAAUCUUUUAUGUAUAGUUUAAGUAAAUCAAAAGGACAUGCAGGUAAUAGCGACUUAGGCGAAAAACUUUCAAAUAGACUAAGUACGAGCACUUCGGCAUUGCAGCUAGAAGAGAGACAACUUAUCGAUGAUAAUAUGAAUACAUUGAGUGAAAACAGUGAUAAAAUUGAAGCAUGUAAAUGUGAAAAUUAUUCCAGUAUUUCACACGGCGAAAACAGGAAAAGUUCAAAUUCAACAGAUUUUCUUGAGAUUUCAAAAUAUCCAUUCGACCCAAAGGUAGAAGUGAUUCAGUAUUACAAAGCAAGCGAAAGAAACAGACGGAGAGUUAGACGACGAUGUGUUUAAAGAGGAUAUGAGAAUAGAUUCUGAACCUAAAAAUAAAACUACCGCGGUUGAAACAUGUAAUACUGUUAAUAAAAGAAGUAUGGAUGAUUCAUCGGCGGGAUUGACUAAGUCUGAAAUAUAUUUGUGCAGUCAUUGCAAGACCAAAUCUUGUAGAAAUAUUGUCGAUCCUGUUUGUGAUGAAAGUCGUCUACUAGCUUCAGAUAUAAAUCCUGUGAUUCAAAGAAUGUGCGAAAAAUGCAAAUCGGAAUGUAAGCAUAAAACAAACAAUUAACCUGCAAAACAGAAAAUGAUAUUACAGAAGAGUUGCUGACAAAACAUGAUUAUGAAUUCAAGGAAAUCAACAAAAGACCUUCAGGCAAGUUUUUGCUGGAGAGCAGCGAGUAUGCAGAAUUACCUUCCAGUGAUAGUGCCUCUAUAUCAUUAUGAAUGUCAUCAAAAAUACUUUAUUCUGACUUUAUGUUGCAAAGACAAUGUAAUCCUUGUUACAUGCCAGUUUAUCAUCUACAUCACAUAUAUGUUCAAUUUCAUAUGCAGAACCUUCGUUUUUAUUAUGGUGUUUUGAUAAUAAUGAGAAAUACAGUUUAAUAUUAAAGUCAUUUGUUCUCUUAAAUAAUUUAUACAUAUAAGUUUUACUUUCUAAUACAUUAUUUCAGAAAACAUAUGGAUAGAUGUAGCUGUUCUUUAAAAUAUAAUUUAUGUUCUUCGAUAAGUAGAAUAUAUUAUCCGUAAGUGUUUACCUGGAACCAAUCAAUAUUCCGAAUGUGUGUGUGUUUUUAUGUUAUGAGGCCCCGUGAGUAUCUACGCCCAUAUUCCAUGUAGAUCGGAGUGUCGUUCACAUGUUAACCUUACAGUAUCAUAAUUUGUUCAGAAUAUUGUACAUUUGAUAGCAUCAAAUACAUGCAUGCCAUACGCAAGUACAUUAUAUUUA